UACGAAGGGGGCUAGCGUUGCUCGGAAUGACUGGGCGUAAAGGGCGCGUAGGCGGUUCGGUAAGUUUCGUGUGAAAUCUUCGGGCUCAACUCGAAGUCUGCACGAGAUACUGCCGGGCUUGAGUGUGGGAGAGGUGAGUGGAAUUUCCGGUGUAGCGGUGAAAUGCGUAGAUAUCGGAAGGAACACCUGUGGCGAAAGCGGCUCACUGGACCAUAACUGACGCUGAUGCACGAAAGCUGGGGGAGCAAACAGG
rnacentral:rRNA from 1 species